AGAAACGUGACGUCCAUGACCGGAUAUAACAGGGGAAGGAUCAGUGCCAAGGUUACAACAAUUCUCGCUCUGUGGGCGGCGGUAGUCUGGGCCGACUGCCAGAUGCGGAUCGGCUGGGUACGACUUUGUUUCCAGGAUCCGGGUGUCAUAAAACAUUCGCAAUGCGCCUCCAAUCAAAGGCAGACGGAGAGGCAUCGAUCCACAGCGAGGAGACACAAAGAGCUCGCCAGGGCCAAUCAAUGAGUGGCCACUCCCUCCACCAGCGUCUCUUCCCACUGUGUGACGCCCGACCCCUGCUCGCUUCCCCUCGUGUAUGGUCGGGAAACAGAGCAUCAAGCAGUAUCAUCCCUCAUCGCCUCGGGCAACUCUCAGCCACUCCUCCCCCACACCGCUACCUUCCAUCACUCCGUCAUACAGGCCAUAAUCGUAACUUGAAGAAAAAAAGUACAUG